GUGGAGACUCAACUAGCUACUGGACUCUGCUGACACAGUACCCACUGCCUGCUUCUGCUGAGUAGGAGAAGAGAGACCAGCUCCCAGCUCAGACCCAGAAAAUGACGCUGGUAAUAUUGCACCUGUCUGAGUUUGCCCGGGAUGAUCAAUCAGAGAUCAGAUGCAGCAGCAGACACACUCUCUUUCACCCUUGUCUUUGAGGAAGCAAGUUUCCAUGAUGUGAGAAAGUCUAUGGAGAG
rnacentral:lncRNA from 1 species